CCUACGGGAGGCAGCAGUGAGGAAUAUUGGUCAAUGGGCGGGAGCCUGAACCAGCCAAGUCGCGUGAGGGAAGACGGUCCUAUGGAUUGUAAACCUCUUUAGGCGGGGAGCAAUGCCGGGCACGCGUGCCCGGAGGGAGAGUACCCGCAGAAUAAGCAUCGGCUAACUCCGUGCCAGCAGCUGCGGUAAUACGGAGGAUGCGAGCGUUAGCCGGAGUUAUGGGGUUAAAAGGGUGGGUAGGUGUAUUUUUAAGUCAGCGGUAAAAUGUCCGGGCUCAACCCGGGCCGGCCGUUGAAACUGGCGAUCUUGAGUGUGCGAGAAGUAUGCGGAAUGCAUGGUGUAGCGGUGAAAUGCAUAGAGAUCACGCAGAACUCCGAUUGCGAAGGCAGCAUACCGGCGCCCGACUGACGCUGAGGCACGAAAGCGUGGGGAUCGAACAGGAUUAGAUACCCCAGUAGUC
rnacentral:rRNA from 1 species